CCAUUUGUCCUUCACUCUGGGAGAAGUUCGGAGCGCUAGGCUCUGGAACUCUGAUUUGAAUUUGUGGCGCGGACAGUUCAUGAGGUGACAAUGGUGCUGGGCGUCUUGCAGGAGCCAACAAACUCGGUGGUGGUAUUAUUCCCACUUUACAAAUGAGGAACCUGAAGAUCAGAUAGAUGGCUGCCCCUGGCUCAGCGCCCGGUGCCAACAGAACACCUUUCAGGAUCCACAGCAACGCAGACGACGUAAGUACCAGUCGUUUCCUGAAACUCUUUUUCAGGUUUAAAAAAAAAAAAAAAACCAACCUAAAACAUAGAAACAAGCCUCUUUCAACCCUUCUUCUCCCCUGUGUUAUGCCACCAGGCUUUCCUAAGUAGCACCUUCCAAAGCACUCUGCCUUCAAGUUUGUGCAUGUCUGUGUGGCAUACCUCCUCCUCCUCCACUCCCAUAGUGGAUCCUGUAAAAGGGCUUCAGAUCGGCCCCAUUCAUCUCCCUGGUGAUAGCAGUGAACGUAGAUAAAUCUCUGCCUGCUUGCUGCUGGAGUAUGAUUUUUAUUUUGUCUCCUGUGUAUACCUGGGUCAAAAAAAGUGGGAUGUAUGCACACACGUACAUGCACAUACACACGUUUCCUUCUGUCUCUUUCUCCAUCUUCCUCUCCUUUUACUCACACAUGCACACAUCCCACAUGUGUAUAUGCAUAAACAUAUACACCUAUCUAUAUACAUACCCAUACCUCCAACCCCAAAACAGACACAUGUCUAAACAUUUAAACUGCCUGAAAAUAAGUGUAUUUAUAUACACAUACAACCUUACACAUGUGUCUAUAUGCAGUCAAUAAGUGCCCAUCUUUUAAUUUAUACCCAUCUAUAUCUCCAUUUGAAUAUUCCCUCUCCUCCCAGCGGAAGCUGCCGUGCAAUCGCAAUCCAGGCUCGUAGAAGCGGUGUUCUUUCCAUAUGAUUUCUGCCUGUAGAUCUUUCUGCUCCCUUCUCUGCCUUCUUCCGAGCUGUAGAAUUGGCACCUCUCCCUGAGGUUUCCGAAUGGCAAGUGGCACCGGCUGUGGCAUGCAUUCAUGCCUCUUCCUAUGGCAUUUCUCUUCCGAUGUCUGCUUUUUCUCUUUGUUUGUUGUUGACUAGGCUGAAUGGUGUUUUUUUUUUAAAGUUAAUUAUAAACGAAGUUGAAUAGCAAGGCAACAGCGUGCCCUCCCCCCUCAAAAAAAGCGCCCUUCUUCUGUAACAGAUGCCCAGCUCACCCCUGGCAUGGGCAAAUGGGCACACAAAUUUUGUGGCUGUUUUUUGUUUGUUGCUGCAUUUGUUGUUUGUUUUCCUUGUUUCUUUUGAUUUUUCAAGGAGUCCAGGAUCCCGGCCUCUGCUUGGAACGGAACAGUGUCAUGGCGGAGACGACGGCCUUUGUCUUGCUGGGUGUGAAAGCAUCCGCUGUGCCGACUCCAAUGCGGCAGAAUCAAGUUUAAAGGAAAACAAGGUACAGACGCCAGCCGCUUGGCACACUCUGCCUUUCGCACUGGUGCAGGGGGGGGGGCAAGGAAAGCCCGCAGCAAAACUAGCAACUGCUGAGGAGCGUUGCCUGCUUAUUGGAGUAGAGCCGAUAGAAGUCGACGUGUCAUAACAAGGUCUGUGAAAGAGAAGUACUGGGUGCCAUGAAAGUGUAUACCAGGAGGACCUAAACUUUGAAGAGCAUAUCAGGAAAGGCUUCCUGAGGAAAGUGAAUUCAAGAUCAGUUCUGAAAGCUGAAGAGAAAUUAGACAAAAGAGGAAGAAAGUAUUCUCCAUGCAGAGAAUAUAUUCGGUAACUCCUGAGACAAGAAAAGAUCAUGGUUGCUUGGAAGAACUAUAAUAAAACCAGUGUGGCUACAGUACAGAUGAUGGGUCAUUGGAUCAUGCUGGGAACAGAUCAGGAGUUUCAGACAAAUGAAAACUUGGAGUUUAUCAUUUACAUACCUUCACUGGAAAAAAAAUUAAAGAAUGUUCUUCAGAAGGAAGGGAGUUGAAGCCAGAAACAAGGUGAAGACAGGAAGAAGCAAUGCUGAAAAAAGACAAUGACCAACAUAUAGGUAAAUCUA